AUGUGUAUUCUCUGCAGUCAUUCUGUUGGAAUUACCAUAUAGUUAAAAACUUCAGCAGCACAUAUACUAAAAACUGGAAUGACACAGAGAAGAUUAACACAGCUUCCGCACAAGAAUGAAACACAAAUUCCUGAAGCAUUCCAUAAAAAA
rnacentral:snRNA from 10 species